AUCACCGAGAGCUCCAUGCAGGUUGUGCCAUUCCAUCCUCCAACACGUCUAUGUACUUCCGUAGCCACGGAAAGGGAUGUUGCCCUUACUUCGCAUCAUGUGCUCAUGAAGUUAAUAAGGAAGUAAAAGAUUUCAAGAAUCUUGUUAGCAUCGUGCUGGGGGAUACCAGCGGGUCUUGGAAAAGAAGAAGCCUUUGCUUUCUACAGUGUCGUGAUGCAGGAUGCCUGCAACAACUCCAAGUCUGAACUAGCAGCGGCUCACCAAGACGUUAAAGGAUCUCCAUGGCUGUACCCAUCGCAUGAAAGACCCGUGCAGAACAGCAGAUUUUAAUUAGAAUUGGGAAAGAGCAUUUCUGUUUAAGUAAAAUGAAAACACAGGUG